GGCGGACGGGUGAGUAACACGUGGGGAACCUACCCAUCAGAUUGGGAUAACGUUCGGAGACGAACGCUAAUACCAAAUAGUCUUAUACUUUGCAUGAAGUAUAAGGGAAAGGCGGUGCAAACUGUCACUGGUGGAUGGCCCCGCGGUGUAUUAGCUAGUUGGUGAGGUAACGGCUCACCAAGGCAAUGAUACAUAGCCGACCUGAGAGGGUGAUCGGCCACAUUGGGACUGAGACACGGCCCAAACUCCUACGGGAGGCAGCAGUAGGGAAUCUUCGGCAAUGGACGAAAGUCUGACCGAGCAACGCCGCGUGAGUGAAGAAGGUUUUCGGAUCGUAAAACUCUGUUGUUAGAAAAGAAUAGCAGUGAGAGUAACUGUUCACUGUGUGACGGUAUCUAACCAGAAAGCCACGGCUAACUACGUGCCAGCAGCCGCGGUAAUACGUAGGUGGCAAGCGUUGUCCGGAUUUAUUGGGCGUAAAGCGAGAGCAGGCGGUUACUUAAGUCUGAUGUGAAAGCCCGCGGCUCAACCGUGGAGGGUCAUUGGAAACUGGGUAACUUGAGUGCAGAAGGGGAGAGUGGAAUUCCAUGUGUAGCGGUGAAAUGCGUAGAUAUAUGGAGGAACACCAGUGGCGAAGGCGACUCUCUGGUCUGUAACUGACGCUGAGUCUCGAAAGCGUGGGGAGCAAACAGGAUUAGAUACCCU
rnacentral:rRNA from 1 species